CAGAAGACAUUCCAAAUGAUGACGGAGAGACGACUAUUGGUGUAGUCCACACAGAGAGAAGUUCUGUACUACUUCCUAGUUUGUGAUCUUGGGCAAGUCAUCAAAAUGUUCUGAACUUAAGUUUAGUACCCAUAAAAGCACUACAAUGUUUACCCCACAGAACUGGAUAGUUAAAUGAGGACUUUGACCACUGAUGCAAAUAUGUACUGCAAUAUUUAGGUGUCCUGGAGAAAAUAAAAUUUAAUUUUGUGUGCAUGGGGAAACCACCUAGACAUGAGACCCCCAUAUGGUAAGCCUUUGGACAAGUGGAUCUAGUGUCUUUAUGGGAUCUCCUCAGGCUGUUUCUACAUUUGGGCUCAGGAUGGCACACCCUAACUAACUAUGGAGGAAUUAUUUGAUUAAAAGAAAGGGAAAAAUAGUCUGCUAGCAGCUAUUUAUAUUAAAACAAAUGAAGGCACAAAUUAGUAGGACUCCAGAGGCUAUGAGUGAAGGCGUGGUG